GACGAACGCUGGCGGCGUGCCUAAUACAUGCAAGUUGAGCGCUGAAGGUUGGUACUUGUACCGACUGGAUGAGCAGCGAACGGGUGAGUAACGCGUGGGGAAUCUGCCUUUGAGCGGGGGACAACAUUUGGAAACGAAUGCUAAUACCGCAUAAAAACUUUAAACACAAGUUUUAAGUUUGAAAGAUGCAAUUGCAUCACUCAAAGAUGAUCCCGCGUUGUAUUAGCUAGUUGGUGAGGUAAAGGCUCACCAAGGCGAUGAUACAUAGCCGACCUGAGAGGGUGAGCGGCCACAUUGGGACUGAGACACGGCCCAAACUCCUACGGGAGGCAGCAGUAGGGAAUCUUCGGCAAUGGACGAAAGUCUGACCGAGCAACGCCGCGUGAGUGAAGAAGGUUGUCGGAUCGUAAAACUCGGUUGGUAGAGAAGAACGUUGGUGAGAGUGGAAAGCUCAUCAAGUGACGGUAACUACCCAGAAAGGGACAGCUAACUACGUG
rnacentral:rRNA from 1 species